rnacentral:lncRNA from 1 species
AGCCGUUUAGGAGUUGUGUGACCUUGGGCAAGUUUUCUCUCCCAAGUUACUGUAGUCAGGUAGUGUAUGGUGACCUCGGUUCCAGCUGGCUAGAAUUCCAAUGUGCCUUGAUCAGCAGUUCGCCCUUUCCUGACUCCAUCUAUAUAAUGGAAUAAUAGCAACCAUUGUUAAGUAAAGAGCCAGUCUCUGGAGGUAAACACUGUUAUCUCUGGGUUACAGGCUGGGAAACUGGUGGCCCAGAUGGCUCCCCGCCCUGUAACGAGGAAUUAAACGGAGGACCUUG